rnacentral:rRNA from 1 species
UACGGAGGAUGCAAGCGUUAUCCGGAAUGAUUGGGCGUAAAGGGUCCGCGAGGUGGCAAUGUGUGUCUGCUGUCAAAGAAUGAGGCUUAACCUCAUCAAGGCAGUGGAAACUACAUAGCUAGAGUACGGUCGGGGUAGAAGGAAUUCCUGGUGUAGCGGUGAAAUGCGUAGAUAUCGAGAGGAACACCUGCGGCGAAGGCGGGUAGCUGGGCCGACACUGACGCUGAUGCGCGAAAGCGUGGGGAGCAAACAGG